GGGGGAUAUUGCGCAAUGGGGGAAACCCUGACGCAGCAACGCCGCGUGAAGGAAGAAGGCCUUCGGGUCGUAAACUUUUGUCUUCUGGGACGAAACAUGACGGUACCAGAGGAGGAAGCCACGGCUAACUACGUGCCAGCAGCCGCGGUAAUACGUAGGUGGCGAGCGUUGUCCGGAAUUACUGGGUGUAAAGGGCGUGUAGGCGGGACUGCAAGUCAGAUGUGAAAUACCGGGGCUUAACCCCGGGGCUGCAUUUGAAACUGUGGUUCUUGAGUGCAGGAGAGGAAAGCGGAAUUCCUAGUGUAGCGGUGAAAUGCGUAGAGAUUAGGAGGAACACCAGUGGCGAAGGCGGCUUUCUGGACGACAACUGACGCUGAGGCGCGAAAGCGUGGGGAGCAAACA
rnacentral:rRNA from 2 species